CCCCAGGGGCCGGGUGUGCUGGCCUGGGCUUCUCCGCGGUCUCCUCCGGAAACGCCCUUCGGGAUCCCGGGGUCCGGGCCGUGGCCAUCGCCUCCCGCGGCAGUGCAGGGUCUGCGCAACGGGCCGGAUUGGGGAGGCGGGAAGGAGACCCCGCCCGGAGGGACAGCCGCGGACCGGUGCGGCGCCCUUACCUGUCCCGCGCGGACACCGCGGGGCCCAGCCCCAGGGACUGCGCUUCACGUUUGUGGGGGCUGCGGGUCUCCGUGUGGACGCGAGCGCUAGAAGGGAACGGACCAGGCGCUCCCCGCGACCUCAGGCCAGCCCUGCGGACCCACCAGGGGCUGAGGAGGGGCUGAGUGUUCUCUGGAGACAGACUGAGAGGAAACCGAGAGAGACACAGAGUAGGACUUCCUGCCAGAACCCGUGCAUUUCUCUGGGGUGCAGUUUGGAGUUUGCUUGGCGUAAGAUGAAACAUCGGAAGAGGAGAUACUGGUGAACUGCUGAAUACUGAUGAGUUGCUGGGUUGCUUGAUAAAGUUUCUGCGCUAACUUGCACCCCAUCUUCAAGUCCCUGCAUCUUCACAGAACUGCCUCGUGUGAUCUGCAUCACAUCCUGGAAGAUGGGCCAGCGCGUGUACCACUCUCCCCUUUUACAGGUGGACACAAAGGCCUCCUCCCUCCAAACCAAAAUGAAAGCUGGGAAAGAGACUCAGUGAAUUGCUGAAGGCACUCCAGGCCCUUGACUUUUCUUAUUUGGAGUCAAGUGUACCUGAAGCCCCAAAAGACAUGUUUAUCAUAGAACAAGCUACAAUGAAGGUCCAUGUGUUUGAUCCAGAGAACUUUAAUACAGAGGCGCUAGAAGAACCGUAAAUAGACAUGAUUGUGAAAUCGCUAAGGUAAUGUGACAUUAUGUCUGUCUUUAAUUUUAAUCAUUCGUUCAUUGAACUGAUAUUUAUUGAGCACCUACUGUGUGCCCGUGUGUUGCAGUGCUAGGGACACAUUCCACAGUAAACAAAACUUGCUUGCUCUGGAAGAACGUCUGUCCUGGUGGGGAAAACAGUCCAUGCACCUACAAGUAUGAAUGCUAGAUGGUAGCUGGGAGAGAGAAGCGGUAGGAAGGAAAAUAGAGCAGGGCAGACAGAGGGUACCUGGGCAUGCUUGCAGGCUCUCCCAAGGGGGCCGAGCAACAGCCUCAGUUAAAAGAUGACAGUGAGUGAGGAUGAGAACGCAGGGAGUGAGCUUGCACAGGUCUGGAGGAGAGCAUUCCAGGAAACAGUGAAUCCAGAGGCCUUGAGCACGGACAUCCUGGCGCGUGUUCUGGGAGAAGAGGACUGGAGCCCAGAGGGCCACGGAGGAG
rnacentral:lncRNA from 1 species